AACGCUAGCUACAGGCUUAACACAUGCAAGUCGAGGGGUAGCAGGGUAGCAAUACCGCUGACGACCGGCGCACGGGUGAGUAACACGUAUCCAACCUUCCCUUAACUCGGGGAUAGCCUUUCGAAAGAAAGAUUAAUACCCGAUAGUAUCUUUGGGUCUCCUGACCUUUAGAUUAAAGAAUUUCGGUUAUGGAUGGGGAUGCGUUCCAUUAGGCAGUUGGUGAGGUAACGGCUCACCAAACCUACGAUGGAUAGGGGUUCUGAGAGGAAGGUCCCCCACAUUGGAACUGAGACACGGUCCAAACUCCUACGGGAGGCAGCAGUGAGGAAUAUUGGUCAAUGGGCGCGAGCCUGAACCAGCCAAGUAGCGUGAAGGAUGAAGGUCCUAUGGAUUGUAAACUUCUUUUAUAGGGGAAUAAAGUUUGGCACGUGUGCCAUUUUGUAUGUACCCUAUGAAUAAGGAUCGGCUAACUCCGUGCCAGCAGCCGCGGUAAUACGGAGGAUCCGAGCGUUAUCCGGAUUUAUUGGGUUUAAAGGGUGCGUAGGUGGUUUGAUAAGUCAGCGGUGAAAGUUUGCAGCUUAACUGUAAAAAUGCCGUUGAAACUGUCGGACUUGAGUGUAAAUGAGGUAGGCGGAAUGCGUGGUGUAGCGGUGAAAUGCAUAGAUAUCACGAAGAACUCCGAUUG
rnacentral:rRNA from 1 species